UACGUAGGGACCAAGCGUUGUUCGGAUUUAUUGGGCGUAAAGAGCGUGUAGGCGGCCUUACAGGUCAGCUGUGAAAACUCGAGGCUCAACCUCGAGACGUCGGUUGAAACCGUAAGGCUAGAGUCCGGAAGAGGAGAGUGGAAUUCCCGGUGUAGCGGUGAAAUGCGCAGAUAUCGGGAAGAACACCCGUGGCGAAGGCGGCUCUCUGGGACGGUACUGACGCUGAGGCACGAAAGCGUGGGGAGCGAACAGG
rnacentral:rRNA from 1 species